rnacentral:rRNA from 1 species
UAGGGAAUCUUCGGCAAUGGACGGAAGUCUGACCGAGCAACGCCGCGUGAGUGAAGAAGGUUUUCGGAUCGUAAAGCUCUGUUGUAAGAGAAGAACGGGUGUGAGAGUGGAAAGUUCACACUGUGACGGUAUCUUACCAGAAAGGGACGGCUAACUACGUGCCAGCAGCCGCGGUAAUACGUAGGUCCCGAGCGUUGUCCGGAUUUAUUGGGCGUAAAGCGAGCGCAGGCGGUUAGAUAAGUCUGAAGUUAAAGGCUGUGGCUUAACCAUAGUACGCUUUGGAAACUGUUUAACUUGAGUGCAAGAGGGGAGAGUGGAAUUCCAUGUGUAGCGGUGAAAUGCGUAGAUAUAUGGAGGGGAAACCCCGGGGGGAAAAGGGGCCUCUCCUUUUUUUUUUUUGCCCAGGCCCCAAANGGGGGGGGGGGANAAAAAAAAAAAAAAUACNGUGGNCGUCNNUCUCAANANGAAAGAGGGNNAGGUGAUACACCCUUUCCGGGGUUUAGUGCCGUAGCUAACGCAUUAAGCACUCCGCCUGGGGAGUACGACCGCAAGGUU